ensembl:lncRNA
GAUUGUUUGCAGAUAAUGCUGUUCUUCUUUUUCAGAAGUUUUUGGUGAGCCAACUCUCACAAACCUUCCUAAAAACUAAAAGAGCUAUUACUGAGUCUCGGCUAAUCUUGCCAUGGUCAGCUCUUCCCAGAAGAGAAGGAAGACCAAGGAAAUUAUUUGCUCAGGAUGAGAAAUGAAGAUGGCCAUCUUGUGCUCAAACAAACAGAAGUCCUCUGAUGAUCUCAUCAGCCAAAUGAGGGGUUUUGACCAAGUGAUGCUCUUGAAAGGAGUGAAAGAAGAGGAUGUGGUAAAUUGUCUUAAAGCAGCUUGAAGAAUGGUCUGGGAUGUUAGGACUGAGAGAUCCUCUGACUGAGAGAAGCUACACCACAUCAGUGCUGGAUAUCAACCACAAACUGUUUCCAGACACGAGAGAAGAAGAUCAUGAUGGGGAGAUGAAACCAGUUUAGAUGUGAUGAUAAGGAAUCAUUAUUUUCUGAAACAGGAUCAAAUGUCUUAUAUGUAUCACAUGAUCUGUAUCACAGUUGACUGGAUGGGACUGUGUGACUCUUAAGGACAUUUCAUCACUCAUCUGUGUGAACUGAUUAAUAUAUGAGGUUAAUGUAUUUUUGAUUAUGAAUAAUUAUUUUCCUUGAAUCUUAUUUGUCUUGAUGCUACUUUAUCAUCUGUAUAGUCUAUGCUUCAAUAAAAUGAAAAUUGUGAAUAUUGUGUUCUGAAGA